CUGUGUUAGUGUAGCAUCUGAGACGACUGUGACGUUCCACAGCUGUCUGUUUACCAGCAAUGGCAAGGCUAAAGAAAGUCCAGAAACUUGGUAGUUUGUGAGUUGUGG
rnacentral:sRNA from 1 species